rnacentral:rRNA from 1 species
GACGAACGCUGGCGGCGUGCUUAACACAUGCAAGUCGAACGGAAAGGCCUCUUUCGGGGGGUACUCGAGUGGCGAACGGGUGAGUAACACGUGAGUAACCUGCCCUUGACUUUGGGAUAACUUCAGGAAACUGGGGCUAAUACCGGAUAGGAGCUCCUGCUGCAUGGUGGGGGUUGGAAAGUUUCGGCGGUUGGGGAUGGACUCGCGGCUUAUCAGCUUGUUGGUGGGGUAGUGGCUUACCAAGGCUUUGACGGGUAGCCGGCCUGAGAGGGUGACCGGCCAGUAUGGGGGUGGGUUGCGGACCAGAAGGCAGCGGGAGGCAGCAGCGGGGAGUAUGGCACAAUGGGUUGAGGUCUGAAGCCGCAACGCCGUGGGGGGGAGGCUGUGCGUGGGGUUGGAAGCCGCUUUAGCUCAGGAUGAAGAUUUGUGAGAAGGGAGUGGGUAAAGUAGAACAGGCUAAACACGUC